CAAACACAAAUUAAACAAUCCCCACCAAAGCAAGCACAACUAAUAUGCGAAGAUAAAAAAAUAACAGUUAGUAUACCUGUUUCUGGUAAAAAUUAUACCAAUAUGUUACAUUACCCCAAAUAUAUUAAUAAUAAUACAUCUAUUAAUAAUCUAUUUAAUGAUUCAUUAAUUUAUAAUACAUCACAUGCUAAUGCUGAUUAUAAUGCACAAAAACAAAUUAUAGGUUAUAAUUAUAAAUAUGUAAAACCAAAAAAUAGAAUCUCUACAAAUUCGAUUUAUGAAUAUAACAACACAUAUAACAUGUAUGUAAACAAAAAUAACAUAACUUCUAAUUCUGAAAUAUUGAAAAAUGAUACAAUACAAAAUACGCACAAUGUAGUCCCUCCAAAUACGUAUUUUUUAAAUAAUAGCGAAUAUACAGAAUUAAUAAACAACUACGAAAUGCAGAAUAGUCCUAAUAAAAAAAAUAAUGAUAUGUAUAAACAUAAUUAUAUAUACAAUAUCCAAAGCGAUAAUAAAAAUGUUGUACCUGCACAUGUACCUGCACCUGUUUCUGUGCCUGUUUCAGCACCUGUUCCUGCAACUAUACCCGCACCUGUACCCGCACCUGUACUCGUACCUGUACCCGUAUCUGUACCCGUACCUGUACCCGCACCUAUAAGUAGUAGUACUACCACUACUACUAGUGACAGUCCCAACAACAUAAUAUUAAGUAACACUCCUAAAAUUAUAUCACCAAAUCAUAGAUAUCAUAGUAAUACUACUGUAAAUAAUAAAACAUGUAUGAACAAACAAAAUUAUACCAGUUUUAAUGUAACAGAAAACAGUAUUAAUGUACGUUAUAGAUAUUAUUAUUAUGAUGAUAAUGGAGCAUUGCUUGGAUAUACAUUCAAUCAACCUAAUGAUAAUAAAAAUACAGACGAACCCAGUGUUAUAUUAAAAAAUCAAACUACAUCACCUAAAAAUUAUAAUUAUGUAAAUGUUGAGAAAUUUAUUCAGGGAACAUAUAAAAGAGAGUUGUUACCACAUGGUGUUGAUACUAAUGAAACUAAUAACAAUGCAAAAUGUAAUUUAGUUAAAAUCAACAAUAUCGAUUAUAAUGGCACUGUCAAUGAUAAUGGCAUUGAAACCCCAAUUAAAGAACAUAAAUCGGAAAGGGAAAUUAAAAAUACUAACAUGUGUAUAAAUCAAACAAUAUCAAAUAGUUACACGAAAACCGAAACAAAUCAAAUAAAAAACAUACACUCACCUAGCGAUACGCAAAAUAAAUUAAAUGAUAAUAAUAAUAAUAAUAAUAUAAUCAUAAAUAUAAACCAAAUUAAACAAGAAGUAAAUAAAAAUAAGUUUCAACCUACUGUAAAUGUAGAAAAUUAUAACAAUAAUAAUGAUCAGAACCAUAACAAUAAAAAAGCACAAUUUUCUGUGGAACCAUAUACUACUGAUAAGGCUUCAGUUACUACAACCACUAAUAACAUAUUUUUAAACAAUGACAUGUAUAUUAAAAAUUUUACUAAUAAUUUAAAAAAUCAAAAUGCAUGCAUGAUUGUUAAAAAUGUGAUUGAUAAUGUAAAUGAUAAAAAAGUCUUACAUAAUACUUAUCCAGACGUAGCAAAAAAUGAAAAAACUGUGUAUAUUGCCUGUGAUGAAUUAAAAACAGGAAGACCAAUUAAAGGUGAUGCAAUUAGUAAUGAAGCUGCAAAUAAAAUAAACAGCAAAAUAAACAGCAAAAUAAACAGCAAAAUAGACAAAAAAAUAAACAGCAAAAUAGACAACACAAUAAACAACAAAAUAAACAAUAAAGUUAAUCCAGAUGAUAUUUUAAAACCUUCCAAUCCUAAUUUAUCAAAUACGGAAAUAGAAGAUGAUAAUGUUGAAGAAAAAAAAAAGGAAAAAAAAAAAGGACAAAAAAAAGAACAAAAAAAAGAACAAAAAAAAGAACAAAAAAAAGAACAAAACGAAAUGGAUGAUAACGAUAAUUACAAUAUAAAAUUAAACCAUAAUAAAAACGAUAGUGACUACUCUGACGAUGAUCAACAUUCCACUGACUAUAGGAAAAAUGGGAAUGGUUUUAAUGGAGGUAAUACUAAUGGGAGUGGCAUUUACGAAAGUAACAGCAGUGUCGCAAAAAAACAUAACACCAACAACUCUAG
ensembl:lncRNA